UCCCGCUUCAGCAUCAAUCCUGUCGAUAUUCAACCAGCAUGCCUCGGACUUUACUGUGGGAAGACCCUGUUAUUUAAAAAUGCCACAACUGAACUGUAUGGAGAAUGUGGGGUGUGCCCAAGAGGACAGAGAACAAACGCACAGAAGUACUGCCAGCCUUGCACAGAAUCUCCAGAGCUCUAUGACUGGCUCUAUCUUGGAUUCAUGGCUAUGCUUCCUCUUGUUUUGCAUUGGUUCUUCAUUGAAUGGUACUCGGGGAAAAAGAGCACUCAACACACUUUAUAGUUAAGUUUAUUUCCUCAGUUAGCGUUCCGCCCACCCCUGACUGCCGGCUCCAAGAGGGCAGUGUCCCUCCGUCCUCCAUGGAAUCUGCAGAGACCAGCACAGCAGCUGGCCCGUGAGAGAUGCCCACUCAGUAUUUGCCAAGUGAAUGAUUUAUUCAUGAAGGUUUGGUUUAGAGAAG